GCGAAAGCCCUGAGUUACGGAUAGGAUCAUGUCCGAGAAACCGACCCAUAAAGUUCAUCCAGCGCCAGUUUGGCUCACCACGGAAUACGUGCAGGAUAAGUUGCGCACAUACUACAAGGAUAACACCCUGAAGCUGGAGAAGUUGCACACAAAGCCAGCCGUCGCCAAUGGAGGAAACUACGGCAGCGUGAUGACCCGCAUCAAUGUGGAGUACACGACCAAGGCAUCAAAAGGCAAACAGGACACCACGUUCUUGGUCAAGACGACUUUCGCUGACCGGGAUCCAGCCGGCGAUGUGCUCAUUCACUAUGGUGUCUACACCCGUGAGAUGGACAUAUACGAGCACAUCCUGCCCCAACUGUCGGAUAUGGUGAGGAAGGAGCUCAAGGACGCAAGGAAGCUCUUUGCGGCCACCAUGAAUGUGGACCGCGAGCGGGACUCGAUUAUCUUCGAGGACAUGUCGUUGGAUCAGUACAAGGUGGCCUGCCGCCGGAAGAAACUGGAUCUGGAGCACACCCACCUGGUGCUGGAGAAACUGGCCCUCUUUCAUGCAGCUUCAUCGGUUCUCGCCGAGCGGCAGCCGGGAAUCUUUGCCAAGAACUAUGAUCGUGGCUUUUUCAACAAACACACCCGGGCAUAUGCACCGAUCAUGACCAAUCUUCUCGAGGCUCUGUCCCGCUCCCUUACCUCGGAUGAGCAGUUGGGCCCGCGGUACAAGGCCAAGAUCGAUAGGCUGGUCGAACGUUUGAUGGACUAUGGCGAAAGAUCGACGACAAAUAAUCCAGGCGACUUUUUGACGCUGGCACAUGGAGAUCUUUGGACCACAAACUUUAUGUUCCAGUACGAUGCAAAGGAUCAUCCCACCAAUGCGAUUUUCAUUGACUUUCAGUUCAGCGUGUGGAACUCGCCGGCCAUCGAUCUGCAUUACUUCUUCUCCACGUCGUUGCAGGAUGAUCUUCGCUUGGAACAUCAAACGGAAUUGGUUCAGUUCUAUUACUAUAGACUGGUGGAGGCACUGAGGAAGCUUAAGUUUGCUGGUCGGAUACCCAGUUUGUUCGACUUCCAACUGCAGUUCCGCUCAAGAGGUUUCUAUGCCAUCUUUUGCUCCCUGAUUUUCGAGCCAGUCAUGCAGUACGAGGGCAAGGAGGAUGCUUCUAUUGAGCAGGUUCUGUCCAGCUCCGAAAGUGGAAUGCGAUUCAAGAACUCCGUUUACGAACCGGAAAACAUAAAAAAGAAACUGAGUGUCACACUCCCUUUUCUGGAUCAGUUUGGUUUGCUGGAUGAGAUGUGAUGUGAUGAGAAUCACAUUUUAACAAUAUGUAAAUAGUUAAAAUAAACAAAUUGUUAAGUUCUAUUGAUGUAUUUCAUUCGGCCAUAACUGACCUUUUUAUAUGAAAUACAGUGUUCAUGACUGAUAAUAACGCUUUGGACUUGAUUUUGACAAGAUAGUGCUAAACUCUUGAUAAACAAAAGGUGCCAACAAUUGUAAAAGUCUUAGGAGAUAACAAUUACAAGCCCUUGAAUCGUGGUGAAAUAGAAACAAGUACGAUGCGGCACACGAUAAACACAGAUGUUUCAGCAAAUAAAAGAACCUACGUAAUAAUAA